rnacentral:rRNA from 1 species
AUAGGGGAGCCGCAGGGAAACCGAGUCUUAACCGGGCGUUAAGUUGCAGGGUAUAGACCCGAAACCCGGUGAUCUAGCCAUGGGCAGGUUGAAGGUUGGGUAACACUAACUGGAGGACCGAACCGACUAAUGUUGAAAAAUUAGCGGAUGACCUGUGGCUGGGGGUGAAAGGCCAAUCAAACCGGGAGAUAGCUGGUUCUCCCCGAAAGCUAUUUAGGUAGCGCCUCGUGAACUCAUCUUCGGGGGUAGAGCACUGUUUCGGCUAGGGGGUCAUCCCGACUUACCAACCCGAUGCAAACUGCGAAUACCGGAGAAUGUUAUCACGGGAGACACACGGCGGGUGCUAACGUCCGUCGUGAAGAGGGAAACAACCCAGACCGCCAGCUAAGGUCCCAAAGUCAUGGUUAAGUGGGAAACGAUGUGGGAAGGCCCAGACAGCCAGGAUGUUGGCUUAGAAGCAGCCAUCAUUUAAAGAAAGCGUAAUAGCUCACUGGUCGAGUCGGCCUGCGCGGAAGAUGUAACGGGGCUAAACCAUGCACCGAAGCUGCGGCAGCGACGCUUAUGCGUUGUUGGGUAGGGGAGCGUUCUGUAAGCCGUUGAAGGUGGCCUGUGAGGGUUGCUGGAGGUAUCAGAAGUGCGAAUGCUGACAUAAGUAACGAUAAAGCGGGUGAAAAGCCCGCUCGCCGGAAGACCAAGGGUUCCUGUCCAACGUUAAUCGGGGCAGGGUGAGUCGACCCCUAAGGCGAGGCCGAAAGGCGUAGUCGAUGGGAAACAGGUUAAUAUUCCUGUACUCGGUGUUACUGCGAAGGGGGGACGGAGAAGGCUAUGUUGGCCGGGCGACGGUUGUCCCGGUUUAAGCAUGUAGGCGGGUGUUCCAGGUAAAUCCGGAACGCUGUUAACGCUGAGGUGUGAUGACGAGGCACUACGGUGCUGAAGCAACAAAUGCCCUGCUUCCAGGAAAAGCCUCUAAGCAUCAGGUAACAUCAAAUCGUACCCCAAACCGACACAGGUGGUCAGGUAGAGAAUACCAAGGCGCUUGAGAGAACUCGGGUGAAGGAACUAGGCAAAAUGGUGCCGUAACUUCGGGAGAAGGCACGCUGAUGGUAGGUGAAGUGAUUUACUCAUGGAGCUGAAAUCAGUCGAAGAUACCAGCUGGCUGCAACUGUUUAUU